rnacentral:rRNA from 1 species
CAGCCGCCACGGUAAUACGAGGGGGGCAAGCGUUGUUCGGAAUUAUUGGGCGUAAAGGGCGCGUAGGCGGUUUGGCAAGUUUGGUGUGAAAUCUUCGGGCUCAACUCGAAGUCUGCAUCGAAAACUGCCGGGCUUGAGUAUGGGAGAGGUGAGUGGAAUUUCCGGUGUAGCGGUGAAAUGCGUAGAUAUCGGAAGGAACACCUGUGGCGAAAGCGGCUCACUGGACCAUUACUGACGCUGAGGCGCGAAAGCUAGGGGAGCAAACAGGAUUAGAUACCCGCGUAGUCCCUGUCUCUUAUAC